GGGCGUAAAGGGCUCGCAGGCGGUUUCUUAAGUCUGAUGUGAAAGCCCCCGGCUCAACCGGGGAGGGUCAUUGGAAACUGGGGAACUUGAGUGCAGAAGAGGAGAGUGGAAUUCCACGUGUAGCGGUGAAAUGCGUAGAGAUGUGGAGGAACACCAGUGGCGAAGGCGACUCUCUGGUCUGUAACUGACGCUGAGGAGCGAAAGCGUGGGGAGCGAACAGGAUUAGAUACCCUGGUAGUCCACGCCGUAAACGAUGAGUGCUAAGUGUUAGGGG
rnacentral:rRNA from 1 species